ensembl:lncRNA
AAGAGAAAUAAAAGGCUGUAAGGCUGACCGAGGACUGAAAGACAUAAUUCAGACACAGUGGGAGAAUGUAAAACUCGUCCUUGGUAGAAGGCAUCGAGGGGACAGUCAGAAUCUACCUCAUGAGAAUCUCAUCACUGCAGAACCAGGGGAGAAUGAGAUCAUCUAUCCCGAUGCAAGCAUACGCUCAGACGCCACCUGUUGGACUUCAACUGCACGCUCCACAACAGACUUCCUGUAACAGGGUGCCUAGCCCUACAGCGCAGGGGCUAUUAUUAUAUUACGCACAACAAAGUGUGUCAAAUCAACAAAACAAUCAUCAAAGUAAUCAACAGUCUCAUGUGUUAUGGAACGGCCAGUCUUCCUCCCAGCCUGUUUCAAGUUCAUGUAAUUUGCAGUCGAGACCUAGGCCUCAAACGUGGUUUACCGACUCGCAGAAUGGGUUGCUUCUCAGAAGUUCAACUUGUGUGGGAAGUUCUUUACCAAAUGGACAGGUUGCACCAUUGCCAGCUGCUCAGCAUGGACCCUCCACUCAAAACCUCAGCCAUCAUCCCCAGACCUUGAAUAGACAUACUGUUCCUCAGCAGAACUAUAAUAUGCCACACUUGCACAACGUCAGUAAUACAAAUGUUCCUUGGUUCCCUUCGAAUUAUAGCAAUCCAAGUUCUGCAACUGAACAGAAUAAGCUGACGCAUCAGUCAGUUCUACCUCAGUACCAGUCUCUGAAUGAACAUCAUAACAGAAUGCAGAUUGCGCAUCAACCUGCAGCUCAGCCGCAACAAACAGAUCGGUCUGCUCAGAUUCUGCACAAUCAGGCACAGCAGAAAAUUCACAAUAAUCAAGCUCAGAUAACAGGAGGAAAAGGAAAUGGUGCUUUAUAUAACUCUGUUAACCACUUCCCUGCUACUUCACAAAGACUCAUCACUCCAUCCCAGCCUUCAAACUACAGUCAGCAGACUGGUCAGAGCCACGCAAGCUAUAACGGGAAUCACGCUCAGCAUUCAUCACAAAUCCAGCAUCAGCCUUCGCCAUACAGAACAGAGACCAAUUCUUCCGGUUACGGUCAUUUAAAACACAGCGAGAACAAGCAUCAAAAUUUACAGUCACACCCAUCCCCACCAUACCCAGAGCAGAGGAGAAAGCAGAGGAAAAAUCAAAGUUCAGCAUUAAGGUUACCCCAGGACAAUUUCCAGGACCAGACUUCACUCCAACAAUGCAACACUACACUAGAUUCUGGCCAUCAAAGCCAGACAUGCCAUCCUACUGUGUCUGCCAUUCAAGGCAACACAUGGCCACAAGAAUCAAAUGAUGCAAGCGCUGGACUCCCUAGGUCCUCAC